GAUCCUGGCUCAGGACGAACGCUGGCGGCGUGCCUAAUACAUGCAAGUAGAACGCUGAAGGAGGAGCUUGCUUCUCUGGAUGAGUUGCGAACGGGUGAGUAACGCGUAGGUAACCUGCCUGGUAGCGGGGGAUAACUAUUGGAAACGAUAGCUAAUACCGCAUAAGAGUAGAUGUUGCAUGACAUUUGCUUAAAAGGUGCAAUUGCAUCACUACCAGAUGGACCUGCGUUGUAUUAGCUAGUUGGUGAGGUAACGGCUCACCAAGGCGACGAUACAUAGCCGACCUGAGAGGGUGAUCGGCCACACUGGGACUGAGACACGGCCCAGACUCCUACGGGAGGCAG
rnacentral:rRNA from 1 species